GAUGAACGCUGGCGGCGUGCCUAAUACAUGCAAGUCGAGCGAACAGAUGAGGAGCUUGCUCCUCUGACGUUAGCGGCGGACGGGUGAGUAACACGUGGAUAACCUACCUAUAAGACUGGGAUAACUUCGGGAAACCGGAGCUAAUACCGGAUAAUAUAUUGAACCGCAUGGUGCAAUAGUGAAAGACGGUUUUGCUGUAACUUAUAGAUGGAUCCGCGCCGCAUUAGCUAGUUGGUAAGGUAACGGCUUACCAAGGCAACGAGGCGUAGCCGACCUGAGAGGGGGGUCGGCCACACUGGAACGUAGACACGCACCAGACUCCUACGGGAGGGAGCAGUCUGGAACGUGCCGCAAUAGGCGAAAGCCUGACGGAGCAAGCCCGCGUGAGAUAUGGAGGUCUCCGGUUCGUAAAGCUCUGCUAUUAGGUAAGAACAAAUGUGUAAGUAACCAUGCACGUCUUGACGGUACCUAAUCAGAAAGCCACGGCUAACUACGUG
rnacentral:rRNA from 1 species